UAUAAUUUAAAGUAGGGCCUGCCCACUGAGUAAUUGAAGGGCCGCAGUAUUUUGACUGUGCAAAGGUAGCAUAAUCAUUAGUUUUUUAAUUGAAAGCUUGUAUGAAUGGUUUGAUGAGAAAGAAACUUUCUAUAUUUAAUUUUUUAAUAAUUUUAUUUUUAAGUUAAAAAGCUUAAAUUUUUUUAAUAGACGAGAAGACCCUAUAGAGUUUAAUUUUUAAAUAAAUUUUAACUUUAAGGAUUUUAUAGAUAUAAUUUAAAUAAUAAUUUGAUUGGGGUGAUUGAAAAAUUAAAAUAACUUUUUUUAUAUUUUUACAUAUAUUUAUG
rnacentral:rRNA from 1 species